GUUGAACGCUGGCGGCAUGCCUAACACAUGCAAGUCGAGCGGACGUAGGAGGCUUUCUCUUGGCUUCCGCGGCGGGCGGGUGGGUGAUGCCUACGUGUCUUCCUGGUAUUGGGGGAUGACUUCCGGACUCGGGCGCUAAUACCGCACACGUCCUGAGGUAGAAACUGGGGGAUCUUCGGACCUCACGCUAUCUGAUGUGCCUAGUUCGGAUUAUCUCGUUGGUGGGGUAAAGGCCUACCAAGGCGACGAUCCGUAACUGGUCUGAGAGGCUGACCAGUCACACUGGAACUGAGACACGGUCCAGACUCCUACGGGAGGCAGCAGUGGGGAAUAUUGGACAAUGGGCGAAAGCCGGAUCCAGCCAUGCCGCGUGUGUGAAGAAGGUCUUCGGAUUGUAAAGCACUUUAAGUUGGGAGGAAGGGCAGUAAGUUAAUACCUGGCUGUUUUGACGUUACCAACAGAAUAAGCACCGGCUAACUUCGUG
rnacentral:rRNA from 1 species